AGCCUAAGCUAGGAAUUCUUGCAUAACUAGUAGGACUGCAGGAGGAUUGCUGUUAUUUUUAUUGUUAUAAUCUUCAUAAAUCCAUUCCCGGGUCGUCUAUCCAACUUUAUUUUAAUGGGAUAGGGCUGGUUAUUGUUAAUGAGUUAUGUGUACUAGAUCUGGCACGUACAAUGUUGCAAGAGCGUGUACUACUUUGAGCAUUCAUCUGAUUUACUUUUUGUAAUAUUCAUGUAAAUUUUUCUGUUCAGAGCUUUAGAAUUUAAGCCUUUGGCAUGAUUAACUUAUUCCCUGUUCAUUUCUUCGCUUACGAAUAUCUCAGUUAUUCCUCAAUUAUAUUAGCUAGAUUAGCAGUGGAUUAGUAGGUGCCCAGGUUUUGGGAGGUGGAUUAAAAGUUUUGGAGAAUCCCUUUUUUUUGUGGGUUGUGGUUGGGGAGGGGGGGGUGCCCCCCCAAUGCUGCCUCUAUUUUAAAAAUUUGGCCUAUGCUGUCGCAUAUGUCGCUGCAUAUCCAUAGGUGGCCCCUGGACUGCACAUCACAGGCCAUAUGCGCCCCCUUUAUAUGCUGGGCUGCAUAUGAUGGCCACAUAUUUGGUCCACGGGCCUAAUGUGUAGAAUGUCUUUUCGAGUUUCGACAUAUUGUACCUUAGGUACUAUAUGUUUUGUCACUGUUGUUUACAAAGUUUAAACUUUGUUCUAGAACCAUGUUAUAUGCCACUUUUGUUUAUGAAGUUAUUACUUUAAAGUCUAAACUUUGUUCUAGACUUCUAACAAUGCUUUUUGCAACUUAUGGCUUACUUUUUCUUGCAAGUUUGAGCAUGGUCUAUACUUCAUAGGAUGAUAUUGUCAUUUUAUUGGGUUACAUAUGCUACGUUAGAAGAUGCACUCAAAUAAAUGUGAAUGUGCAUUCUUAAUUCUUAUUAUUUUCUGACUUUACUGAUUUAUUUCUAAUUUUUAUCAUCUGUAGAUAUUUAUGUCUUUUAUUUAACUAAUAUUUUAAAAAUACAAUCUAUAUGUAGUUUGCACAUGCACCUGCAUACUGCAUAUAUUCUAUACAAUUUCAUGGCUGCAUGCGGACCGCUUUUGCAUUUAGAACAUUAUUCAUUCUAAAUUGUGGUUGGUAUUUAUUUUGGUUUUUUGCUGCCUAAGCUGCUCAAGGCACCAUUCCUUGGCUUUGCUAUUUUGGUGCGGUUAAGCAAGAUGAAACAUCUUCAUGUUCUUAAUGCUCUCUCUCUCUCUCUCUCUCUGUCUCCACUCCGCUUUUCUCUCUAUUCACUCCAGACUGAGGCUAUUCUUAGAGAACCAUUGUCACAGUUAAAAUGCUAUAUAAGUUGGUAGAAACAUGAUUUCUGCUGAAUGUGCCGGGCAUAUGGAGUUUAAUCCUUAACUAACUAGAUAUGGUUGUUUUGGUCAUUUGCUUUUCCCAGCCCUCGUUUCUUUUGGUUUUCUUUUACCACCUCCUUCCUGAAGUCAUGUGCAUCUGUGCUAUGCUUUUUCUUUUUCCAUUCACCACAACGUACUUGAUAGCUAGGUUUUAAUUUAUAUGCAUUUCAUACUCAAUAUAAGAUAUAUGUAGUUUUUCUUGCUUCAUCUUGACUUACAUUGGUACACUUGCCAUGUUAUUGUUCUUGUCAUGUUUCAUGUUGAUCAAUAUGUUUCAUGCUUCCUCUGACUCUAGAUCACCACUUGACGUUGUGACAAUUUCAUUAAUUUUAGCUAUCUCUAGUAAUUGCUUUUGAAUGCUGUGUUUUGCUAGUCAUAUGAAGUUUUUUUUAUUUAUUCUUGUAAUAUCAUUAUUCACUGUUGUGUAUAUAAUGCGAAGCCGAAGCUUAAUUUCAUUCCUAUUAAAUUAAAUACUUGUAUAUGUUGUUCUCUUUCGGAAAAUCGGAGUCCUUAUCGUAAAUAACAGCAAUUUUCUUGAAUUGAAGUUUCGGUUUUCUUUUUUUUGUUAGUGUUAGUUGUCUCAUCUUGAUUAAUUGGCUUCUUUUAUGGAACUUCUUAGCAAUAUAUUACAUUUUGUGCUUUUUAGAUUUUGUAUGGGUUAUGAAUAUGUACAUUUUUUUAAUUUAAGGUUGUUUCUUGUUGCAGGUGUAAAAAGUGUUUAUAAUUCAAAAACAAUUCAGGGUGCAUCAAAGUUUUUUUGCAGUUAUUCUCGUCAAUUGAAAGUGAGGUAAAAUAUCAGUGCUACUUUUCUUAGUAAUGACAUUUGGCCAGUUAUACAUAAAGAAAGCAUGCUCUGCUUAAUGAGUGUGACGCUAGAAUAGUGUAGCAUAAUUUGGAGUUGGCAGGUUACUACUGUUUUCUGUACAUUUUUUGCACCAUCUUUUUAUGUGUUAGCCCUUUGUAUCAUAUGGACAAGGAUUUAAAUAUUGAGGUAUGGGGCAUAUUAAUGGCCACCUUGUGUCCUAUGUGCUGUGCUGCCCAUCAUAACGACAGAGAGUAUAGACCAGUAGCUUUGGUACAGCCGAUAAGCACUUCAUAUGGCCUAUAUUGGCCUUCAAAUUGGUUUUUGCCUUUUUGCUUAUUUUUUAUUAAUUUGAUGCUGUAUUUUUUAGAGAUAUGUGAAGUGUAUGAAUUGUAAAUGCCCUUGUCAUCCUUUUUGAUGCAUGCUGAAGUUUCUUUUUGUUACUAAUUUAUUACAUAACUCCACAUAACUUGCAAUUAAAAACACAUUGAAAAUCUAUAUGAAUGCAUUAACAAUUAGUGUAAAUAGGUUGCUGGACAUCAUUGAAUUAAUAAAUGAGACCUAAGAUUAUCAAGAUACAAGAUGAAAUAGUCUACUAAUAGCAUUGAUUUGACAAGCGAACAAAGAAAGAAUACAUUCUAGAAGUUUUCCUAAAUAAGUUUCAACACAUGGAUUACCUUUCAAUUAUAUGUUUACCAAGGCAUAUCGUAAGAUUUGAUAUUUUGACCAUUAUUACUUUUUCUAUCAUGAGAUGGCUCAUUGGCAUGUUAUUGUAUUUUUUUAUUUUGCUCCUCCAAAAAAUGCAAGUUCACAACUCUUACUGCUUUUUUCAUAUUUUGACUGACCAAAGGGAAAUACACUUGUUUCUGAAAAUGUCUAGAAAGUCUAACAUUUCCCUGGUCAAUGCUGCAAGAAACUAACUGGCACUACAACAGGGAAUGGCUUCGUAAAAGUUACUGAUAUAUGCAUUGGAUCAGAUUAUUGAAUACUAGAUAAUUAGUCAUGUGAUGUUUUGGGAUAUCCUACAAUCACAUGGCGGUAAAAUUGCUAUUUGCUCAUUUUAACGUGAGAUGGGUUUCCACUUUAUGAGUUUGACCUGUUAUUGCAAUGAUCGGAGUGUGUUGAUGCAGCGGCGGCUCUGCAACUCAGCUGAUUACUGGGUGGUUGGUGUGGACCAACCAUGUUUAUAUAUUUACUUGCAUGGAACACCCAUGCCUUAAGCCAAGUGCAAUUAUUCUUGACCACUCCUGAUUUAACAAUAUGGUUAUUUGUCCAUGCAAGGGAGAAAUGAUUUUUCCUGCACAUGAAUUGCAUUUCUUGCAGCAUCUACUUGCUGUUGUAAUCCUCUCAUUAUAGAAAAAAAGCAACUAUGGCUUUGUUGAAGUGUUUUAGAGGUUCUGCACUUGUCUGUGUAUGGUAUUUUGUAAUAUAUGCAAGCAUUACUGCUCAUAUUUAUUUCAUCUUAUUGCAGUGAUCGUGCAACAUUGGUUUGGAGCUUAGCUGCUGUUACUAGACAAGAGGCUUUUGGUCGAGCUGGAUUGAUGGCUCUCGCCUCUUGUAUUGCUUCUGCUGCUUGUCAUUCUUAUACAGAUAAUGUGAAUGAAGUACAUCAUAGUGUAGAUGGUCCUCUGGAGGUAGAUCAAAAAAAAUCUGCUCAAGAAGAUCUUUUGCCCUGCAGUCCUGCAGAUAUAUUGGAUGUUCUAGGAAUUAUUAUUGAGAGAAGUAAACAACAUUUUAAUCCCAAUUAUCGUCUAAAAGGUCUCUGAUAUAUCUAGUAAGAUAUUGGUAUUAUUUAUGUUUAAAUAAUUAGUAUUGUCCUUAACGUAGAGAAAACUGAUUUCUAGUCUUUAAAAUGUGAUUGUGUUCAGUUUGUGAGCAGGUUUUAAAAGCUACCUUGUCCCUGAUAAGCAUUACUGAGGUCCCACUUGAUCUGCUUUUGCACUUUCUUUCAACAGUUCCUCGGGAAUUUACUGAUCAUGCUGGUAUGCAUUUCAUGUAGACCUGAAAUAGUUAAUAUCUGCUUUUGAGAUCUGGAUCUUUUACUAAUUCAAUGUUUUAUAAUUUCUUCUUUCUGUUUUCUGGGAUUGAGUAUGUUGGUUUGUCUUUAUGGUUUUUUUGAUAUUUGCUUUGUCUACAGCCGGCAUUUUAAGAUCUUGUUGUUUUCUUGAUUUUAUAUUAACACAACUAUGGAAUUCAUUGACAUUUUUCUUUUCUCAAAUGUAAAUCCCAACUAUGAUAUUAACUUUUUGCUAUGAAUGGUCAUGCAAGACAAAUUCAACUCUAGGCCAUCAUUGGAGCAUCUCCAUAUAUAUCUAUCCAAGAUUUUCUUGGUAAACUUGCAGUGCUAUCUGCUUCCAUGCUUGCUUCUUUAACACAUAUUUUUAGCUAUGAAGCACAGGCACAUAUAUGGGAUAUGGAUAGACACGGUACAGAUAUAUGCUGAUACGAUGGCUGCUAGAAAAGGAUACAAUGGCUAUUAGAAAAGGAUACGAUACAUAUAGAAUAUGUCAAGAAAUAUGUGCACAUGUAUUUAUGUGUGUAUAUGUAUGUAUAUGUAUGUAUAAAAUAUAUAACUACAUGCAUCAAGGAAUGUUGAACCGGCCUGUACCGGCCGUUCAGCCCGUACUGAACCGGUAUUGGCGCCGACCGGGUCUGUUCGGCCACAGAAAACGGCUCCGGCCUUGAAUCGGCCGGUACAAAGCCGAAUCGGACUGGUUCUGUCCGAUUCGGCUAGGACUCCGUGCGAACCGGCACCGAGUCCGAUUCGAUCUGUGGCAUUUAAUGCCACAGCUGUGGCUGGCUGUGGCAUGUAAUGCCAUGGCGCGCUGCGCGCGCAUCUUGUGCUUGCGUGCUAUGUGGCCUUUUUGGCCACAACGCGCGUCUUUUUGGCUGGUUUGGUACCGGUUCGACGAUCCUUGACAUGCAUACAUAUGUAUACACAUACAUAUGUAUCAUGAUACGCCGUACUGGCUCAAAUCGGACGGUACAGGGCGUACUGUACCGUAAUGGUAUCGGUACGGAUGGUGUACCGACACUCAGUACGCCAAAAAAAAUUUAUACCGUACUGUACCGACAUUGUGCUAGUAUGGCACCGGUACGGGGUCUGGUACCGAGACGACGAACCUUGAUAUGUAUGUAUAUAAAAAUGCGUCCACAAAGUAUAGUAGGCUAUCAAAAUAACAUAGUCCAUAGUUUAUAUGGUAGGAUUAGCUUUUACAAGCUCAUUGUUUAGUCAUUAUUCUAUAGAUCACAAUCCAUACUUUAUGUUUCUAAUGUCAUAGACUACAAAAUUGACUCUCCCUCAUUGCUGGAGGUAUUGGAGAAAUAUCAAAAGUGUAGCCGGAAAGUAUCCAGAUUAUUCUUUUAAUUUUGAAAAAUAUAAUACUUCAAAAAAGUACAAGACACGUACCUAAGAAGAAUUCCACAAGUAUUGGUGUUUGAUAUGGAUAAGAUACAGACAAGGCAUGUGAUUUGAAGUAUCCAUGCUUCCUCAAUUUAUAAUGUUGGAUAUUUAUAAUUUUUUAGCAUGUUCAUUUUUUUUAUCAUAUUGGAAGUGGUAUUGGGCUGAUACCAUAUAUGUGCAGUUCGAUGUUAAUGGCCCUUAAUUAAUUGGUUUUGAGUCCAGCUUAAAUGGUGUAACAGUUUAUAAAUAAUAUGUUUGGCUCAUUGGCAUUUUGGUUGUUCUGCGCUUAGUGGAAUAGCUCAUUUCUAGCAUUCAUUGUCAUGAUUUCUCUACUCGUUUUUGGCCUGUGAGCUAAUAUUUGCUUGAUCUUUGAGCCAAUAAGGCAUUUAGAGUUUCUUGUGACCCAAGUUUAUUGUAUCGAUCGGUAUCAUAUGAAGCACACCAUACCAUACUAGUAUGCAGUCUCAUACCAUACUGACACUCAGUACGCCUCGUCGUCUCGUACCAUACCAUGUGCUAACACCGUAAUAGGAUGAUACCGGUAUGGGGUCCGCUACCUAGAGGGUGAGCCUUGUUUGUGACAAAAAUUGAAAUCAAGAAUCAUUCAGUAGUGACAGAGUAAUCCUAGGGACAAUAACACAUUUUAGAUGGGCCUUGAUUAUUUCUGUCGCAUAAUUUUUGGUUUUGCCAAGUCUGAAAACAAUUCCAGCCUUCUCUUCCUUUGAUGUUUGUAAAGUGUACGUUAUAGAUCUCUAUGGGGCAUCUUUUAUCUUUUGCUUUGGCCAUGCAAAUGCAGCCAUGAAGAGAAGACAUUGUUGGUGUGCUGCAAAGCUUGGAUUCGCUUUGUAAGCAUAAAAAAGUUGAGCAUUUGAAGGUUUUUUGCCUUUCUUCACCAUUACUAUGAUAUGUGGGCUAUAUUUUGGUAGAAACUAUAUUGGCUAUUACAAUUGUUCAAGAGGUUGGAAAUUUUAGCAUUGUAGACACUAUGUUGGCUAGAAACUAUUGCAAGGAGCACUCCUCAGAAACUAUUAAUUUGUAAAGUCAUCGACUAUAUUGGUUAGCAGUUGUGUCUGGAUGAUCUUGAAGUGGAUUUGCCUUGUCUAUCUCGAGAUCUUGAUGUCAUAAUCUAUGUCAACGCCUGCAUUUGCAUGAAUGUUGUCUAUAUUUCCAAUAAGUGACAGUUCUUCUGUUUUUGAUGAGGUAACUUUUCCUUUGGCUCAAACUUGUAAUCUGGAUGCAUUUAUUCAAAGAUCCGUAUUUCUUUCUUCAUUAAUUUCAUAAUCUAUCUUAUAUUAUGACAUGUAUAUGUAAUGUAUGAUAUCUGAUUUGUAACAUAUAUUUAUUUAUUAUUUGACAUGCACGUUUUGGGCUUCCAGGACCAUUAAGAAGAAUGGUGCAACAAUGGCUUACUCAGACUAAUGAUAAACAUUCUGUUGAUAGUGAAAUACAUGUUCUGAAGAAUCUCAUCAGUUUUCCUACAAGUUUCAUAAAACACAAACAGUCUCCUGGAACCUUGGUUUCUUUUGAUGAUGAGGAUGUAAAUGCAUGGGGAGCUGAAGCACGGAGGUGGGCAAGGAUACUUCUCCUUGUAAUCACGAAGGAGCAACAACUGGAACCAAUACUGAUGGUCGGUCUUGUUCUCAACAUUUACAUGAUUAUUGUGGUGCCUUUUAUUUACUUCUCUAUUGCGAUCUUAUUGUGUUUAUUGAAUCUACUUGCUUUUCAUACGUUGGCAAGACGAGCACCUUAUGGCCUAGGUGUUAGAAAUUUAAAAAGUUGUAGCUAAGCCUUUAUUUUUUACUUCUCUUUGAUAAUAUGUUAGCUAGCAUGUUAUUUGAUUGCCUAAUGACUUAAUUUAGUUUUGUAACAGAUUUUGUAUUACUUUUAUAGUUCUACUCUUUUGUUUGGGAAAAGCUUAAAUCUAUAUUUUUAGCUUUGUUCGUUAGAGGAAUGGAGUAAUUGAUGACGUUCAGGCUUGAAUAAUCAAUGGCAUUUAUGUUUGGUGACAUUUAGUUUGAGUAGGUCGGUGUGGGCUAAGCUUUCAUGACGCAGACCAGGCCAUGGUGGAGCUCAAAACUUUUGAGGCUUGUCUCUGGCACAUGUGUCACCAUAAAUUAUAAUUCAAAAGCUCGCUUACUUUUACAUAAGCUUUGAAGUGUAAAAGCAUUGAUGAUUGAAUACACCUUAUACUUAGUUACUCUUUUUACACAAAUUUAUAGUUUUGUAGCAACACUUUUGGAUGCCAGUUCUUUAUUGCUUCUAAAAUAAAAGUCAAAAUGUUGCUUUCCUUUCCAUGUUUACCUUUCUUACUUCUGAAUUUCAUCAAUGUCCUCCUUAUAAUGAUUGAUCUCAUGGCAUUAGUUGAUCAAGCAUUCUAUAUUGCCCCAGGUGAACCAAGAUUUGCCCAUCGUGCACUUCAUGACACAUUCUAGUAGUAUAUAUUUGUUGCCAAAGUCCCAAGUUUCCCAACGUUUGAAUAUAUGUUCAAAAUUUGAUGAGUUAUGAGUUGCUGAUUAUUAUCUUAUUUUUAUGGACCUCUGCAUUUUCUUUUUUGUGCAUCUAAGCCUUAGAAUCCUCAUGUGAAUUUCGUUAAAAGAUGUUGGCCUUUAGGUUUUUCAUGUUGUCAUUAGGUUAACACCAAUGAGGCAUAUGGAGGUAUUAAUUUUUGUGCUUUUGUCUUUACAGUUUCUCCGUAGUUUUGGCAGCAGCCUUUGCAAACAAGAUCCUAAUAUGGAAUGGGUUCCCAUUAAGCUUCUUAUUCUUAUUCUCAACCUGGUUGAUGAGUUUCAAAUUGUAAGGAAGAAAUUGACCUGCUAUACUGAAGCUAAGUCUGAAACAGAAUCUGACAUGAAAAAUAUAUUGCAUUAUGAAUCUCCUCUGGUAACCUUGUUUGGGGAAAAAUCUACCAAGUUGUUUCUCAUUCUUUUGGUAAAUGCCAAUGCCCCUCUUUUUUUUCUCUUAAUUUUAUUUUGUAUAACAAUAAUAUAAAGUGAUUAAAGGGUUUAGAAAUGCGGUAUGAUAAAAUAAUACAUUUAUAUUGUUAUUAUAGGAAGAACUGUUGUCCUUUUCCAAAUUAAUGUCCCAAGUAUUCUGGUCAAUAUCUGUGGUGAAAGAUACACAGUUACCUUCUUCUGUCAAAGGAAAGCUUGGCGGGCCAAGUCAACGGCGAUUGGCUUCUCUUACAACUUCUGCUGUGCUGCAAGCGGUAAGAGUUGAAACAUGGUAGCUGAUUAUUUACUCAGAUGAUUUAAUAGCUUGAUAGAAUGAUUACAUCUGUUUAUUUUCCUAGUUAAGACCCUUAUAUUGGAGCAUUACAAAGAGAUAGUUUAGUUCCUUUCCUGGUUUUAUGCUAGUUUUGGCAUUCUAAAGAUAGUAUCACAGUAGGAUAUCAGGAAACAUUAAAUAUGCUGAUAUCGUCAUUUAUGCUUUAAGGUUAUGUAAAUCAUUCUUGAAUGUAUGUUUAAAGCCUAAUUUGGUAUAGUUCUGACGCUUUCUUGUGUGAACCAUAAAAUUCUGUUAGUUUACUAUAUUACAUAAACAUGUGAUAAAACAACGUAGUAUGAUACCAUAGUUUUGUUGUUCAUAUACUUUGAUAUUAGUUGCUUGGAAAUAAUACUCCUGGGUCUUUUACAUUGAUAUGACUUAUCAUAUUGCAGCAUUUGAGUUCCUUAUCUACAGUGAUAUGACUUAUCAUAUUGCAGUAUUUGAGUUUCUUAUCUAGAACCUUGUUAAUUCUUGCACGUUUAUUUAAGUGAUUUUUGGUUUCACUUUAAUCACCUAAAGUUGGUCUUAAAUUAUCGAUAACAUUUUUAUGAACUGGAUUGUUUUUCCAAUGAUUUUCUAUUCCAUGGUUGCAUUUAUACACGAUCCACUAACUAUUGUCAUCUAGGGUUGAUGUGCUUAGGUUGAAUCAAGGUAUGUUGAGCUGGGUCUGAACUCUGAACCCCUAAGUAACACCCGUAAUCCCACAUUUUUCCCCUUUCUCAUCUAUUCUUCUCUUAACUACUCUUUACCAUUUGAGCUUUUCUACAUGAAAUUCAAUCACCUAUGCAAAAUCCUUUAUAAUUAUAUAGAAAAGUAAAAAUAAUCAUGUUCUUUGUGUUUUGUGGUGGCUUUUUAGAUACUUAUUUNNNNNNNNNNNNNNNNNNNNNNNNNNNNNNNNNNNNNNNNNNNNNNNNNNNNNNNNNNNNNNNNNNNNNNNNNNNNNNNNNNNNNNNNNNNNNNNNNNNNNNNNNNNNNNNNNNNNNNNNNNNNNNNNNNNNNNNNNNNNNNNNNNNNNNNNNNNNNNNNNNNNNNNNNNNNNNNNNNNNNNNNNNNNNNNNNNNNNNNNNNNNNNNNNNNNNNNNNNNNNNNNNNNNNNNNNNNNNNNNNNNNNNNNNNNNNNNNNNNNNNNNNNNNNNNNNNNNNNNNNNNNNNNNNNNNNNNNNNNNNNNNNNNNNNNNNNNNNNNNNNNNNNNNNNNNNNNNNNNNNNNNNNNNNNNNNNNNNNNNNNNNNNNNNNNNNNNNNNNNNNNNNNNNNNNNNNNNNNNNNNNNNNNNNNNNNNNNNNNNNNNNNNNNNNNNNNNNNNNNNNNNNNNNNNNNNNNNNNNNNNNNNNNNNNNNNNNNNNNNNNNNNNNNNNNNNNNNNNNNNNNNNNNNNNNNNNNNNNNNNNNNNNNNNNNNNNNNNNNNNNNNNNNNNNNNNNNNNNNNNNNNNNNNNNNNNNNNNNNNNNNNNNNNNNNNNNNNNNNNNNNNNNNNNNNNNNNNNNNNNNNNNNNNNNNNNNNNNNNNNNNNNNNNNNNNNNNNNNNNNNNNNNNNNNNNNNNNNNNNNNNNNNNNNNNNNNNNNNNUCUCUCUCUCUCUCUCUCUCUCUCUCUCUCUCUCUCCAUUUCUCUCCCUCUUUCCCCACCCUCUCCCUGUUUUUGGUAUGCUCCAAUUCAGCACGGUACGGACCUAUACCAUACUGAACUAGUCCUGGCUACGACCUCCGGUACUGGUUCGGCUACUCUAAACAAUCCUGAAUUGUCCAUGGCCUACUCUCACAUUCUUCUGUGCACUCAAUGUGAUAUUCCUUGUAAUGUAGCCGCAUUGCUCUAGACAUGAUUCCUUUUAUGCAGGUUAUAAGGGCAUUUCUUCUUUAUGUAAGUGCCCAGCAUGAUUUGUUGGUACUGAAGGUAACAUAUCUAAUUAAUGUUUAAGAUCAGAGUGGACAGCUUAUCCGUUUCUCUUGUUGAAGUUUGUGGUUCAGUCAACUUUAUGGUGUAGUUGGUUAUGGUGACAUCCAAAUGAACCUAUGUAGCAUUACUCUCAAAUGAUUGUGUUAACUCUUCUAUCGAUGGUUUGGUUUUCUUGUUUAUACUUUUUACAGCGCAAUGCCUUUUCAUCGAGCCUCUUUCAAUUAGUCAUGUAUCAGUGGUCAUUUUGUUUUUUGAUAUGUACAUAAUGUAUCUAGAUGCUGUGUUAAAGUUCUGUCUUCUUUGUUUCUGUGAACAGGUUUUGUCAAUGAGGGCUGUUGCCUGUGUCUCAUCAUGGUGUAAUCAGCUAAUUAAAGAUCGUUCCCUUGAUUCUGCAUUUACUUUCUUGUGGGAUUUCUCUUGGAAAGUUAUUAAGUCUCCUGCAUAUGAUUCCGAGGCAUGUUCAAGUGCUUAUGAAACAUUUGUUCAAUAUCAACAUAUAAUUAUCAUUUUGAUUUCUCCCCCUUCUCUUGGAUAAUGUGUUAGCUGAUAAUAGUGAUCUUUAAUUUUUCACUUUGUCCCAGAGUGGAGCAGAAAUUCGUUUAGCAGCAUAUGAAGCAUUAGCAUGUGUCUUGAAAGCAUUGUCUACCUAUUUUAAUACUUCGUGUUUAGAUUUUGUUAUGGCAUAUAAUGAAUCACAUUUUUCAAGUGAGGAAGUCAAACCUUUGUUAGAUCUUCUGGUUCUUUGCUUCUUGCACAAUAUCAAUGAUCUGCUUGCUAUUGGAGUUUUGGCACGAAGUCGACGAGCAGUUCUAAUGAACUGGAAGGUGAAAAUGUUCUAUAAUAGUUUGUUUUUUUGAUCUCCAUUUAGAAGCUUGUUUUGCUUAGAUCUUGUCCAAUCAUUUAGAAAAACAUGUGCUGUAUGUUACAUGGAAGUUAACAUGCUAUUGAUUUUGCUAGUGGCAUUGUCUAGAUUCUCUGCUGUCCGUUCCUUACAUAGUCACUGAAAAGGGAGUUUAUCUAAAGGAUGCAUAUCCUUUAUUUUCAGUUUCAACUCUCCGAAGUAUUUUUUUUGAUAUUGUUGAAAGGUAAUGAAUCCACUAUGCUGUUUAAAAUAUUUCUGCAAAUUGUUAUUCUUAUGUGUAAAUUAUCAGAUAUAAUUGCAAAGAUCCUGAGAAGUUAAGAUUGGAAUAUUUUCUUUUGCAUGAUGUCACAUUGCUCUAUUUCUCAUACAAGACGAAAUGCAUGUAAUCUUCUAUGUACCAUGCGGUCACCAAAAGUUAACUUAAUAAUGCAAAAUUCAAUCAGAACUUAUGUCUAGCUUAAGCUGGACGACACGUAGACAUCUCUAGAAGAGUCUUCUAGCUGAAAGUCCGAUUGUUGUGGAUUGAAAUAGGAAGUAAUAGAUGGGAUAGGCAGCUAGAAGAAGGACAUGAACCUAAAGGGAUCAUGGGUAUUGUUAUAAGCAUUAUACCAGUUUUUUUUUUUGAGUUUGAACACUGGUUUAAAAAUGUAUUUUAUGUUGUGGGCCUAAUUUCUAGAUUAAAUUCUACUCAGACAAGUUUGACAAGGAAGCCUAGGUAGUAAUUUAGUUGAGCAUGUGGAAUCUGAAUUGGCUGGAUUGCUAAAAUCUUAAAUGACUGGAUUGGGUCAUACAAGGAUUGCAUGUUUUGGCGUUUUGAUCCAUAUGUGAUGCAUAUGUUCUAGAUAUAUCAAAACCCUUGAUCCAUAUGUGAUGCAUUUAUAUUUCGGUCGAAAAGAAUAAACAUGUGCUUCAGUUAAACAGAAUAAACUUGUGCUUCGAUUAUUUUCUUAUGGACCCUACCCAGCCCGAUAAUCCAAUUAGGGCUUCACUUGUCAGUCAUGUACCUUAAAAAAUAAAAGUGAAAUAGGGCCAAGGAGAGGAUCUAUUUGGUUGGGCAUCUAAAUAUGGUGAGAAAGAUAGCAGAGAAAAUUAAAGUGGAAGAAAAUAUGAUAAAUCCUAAAGAUGCUUUCUGCUCCACUUUCCUCUUUAACUAUUUUCUUUUUUGCUUUCUCUUAACCAUGAACUGCAUGACCUUCCUAAUCAUUCAAACCAAGCCUUUGCUAGCCCAUGGCCCAUUAUACAACCGCCCCUAUUGCAGGGGCAUAAUACUUGAUUUAAUUGUCUUUGUUUUGGGAACCGGAUAGACCUGACCUGUUUAUAAUUGGGUUCAUUUGAUAUAAUCCAACAUAUUUAUUUUGUGUCGGCUCGGAUGGGUUGGUGGGUCUGGGUUAGAAAUUGCCCACUCUAGCUCGUAUUGACCAGUUGUUUGGUUGAUUUUUUAUAAGUUUAUCUUCUCCAAAUUUUGAUUCUAUUGCAUCUGCUUCCAAAUUUGGUUGCACGAUAUACCUUGGUAGCAACAUAUCCUGAACAUCUCCAUUUUUCCUGUUCACAAUCAUUACUACAUCUAAACAUGAUCUUUACUUAGCUCAAUAGUAGCUUCUUGGAUAACUUGAGUAGCUUCUUGGAUAACAUGAAGCAUAAAGAAAGGAGUCCCGAGUAUUUUUGUAAGUAGCCAUCCACGGUUUUCACUAUUAAUAUUUUGAUAGCUAUGUUACUUGUGCGCUCCUUUUAAGUUGUUUGGAAGUGUCAAUACUUUUGGACACCUGGACAUGACAUGACACUACACGGCUUGACACUCCAAUUUGAAGUUUCCUGUUUUUGUCAACAACAAGUUCUGAUGCUUGGCACCUUUUUUGGAGUGUAAUGUAGGGGUACUCGUAGUUUUAAGUUUUGGACACUUUUAGUAAAUAUGUAUCCUUAAAUUUUUCUAGACACUUUAACAAAGGUGUCCUCGAGUUCUUCUAGACAUUGCAAGCGAAGUGUCCUAACAUUUUAAUUUAAAUUUACCAAGAUUAUAUAGACACUUUAAGUGGAAUAUCAUUAUAUUUUAUAUAUAAAUAUGUUAUAGUUAGCUAUGAAUUUAAGUAUCUCGACACAUCUUAAGUAAAUGCAGCAAAUAAAUUAAAUAACUUGCAAACUCAUGGCUAUUCCAUUAAUAUAUUUGUUAAAUAGCAUCUACUAAUUUCAAAGUUUGCUAUUUUUGUAUCAGACCCUGUACCAGUACCAUCCUAUUAUAUUGUCGAUACACAGUACAAUACGGACAAGGUGUACGAGUGUUGGUAUGAUACGAGAUUGCGUAUUGGUUUGGUAUCGGUACGAUAUGAUACCAACCAAUAUGGUAAACCUCAACUAAUUCUAAGUUCUUUUUUUUUGAAUAAGCAUUAAAAUCAAGAUAUGCCGAACCGGUGCCGGUAGGCGUACCGGUUUGGUACUGGUCGAAUCGGUAUUGAACCGGCAACAACGCGGGCGCGCUGCGGACAAAAUGCCACUCUGUGGCAUUUAAAAAAUUGCCACAGAGUGGCAUUUAAAAAAUUGCCACAGAGUGGCAUUAAAAAAAAGUGCCAUAGAGUGGCAUUAAAAGAAAAUGCCACAGAGGCAUUUAUCCGAAGCGUCCGGUUCGCACCGGUACAAAGCGGUACCGGACUUGUAUCGGUCCGGUUCGCACCGGUACGCCCUCCAUAUCGCUCAGUUCCGGCCCCAUAGAGACCGAAACCGUUUUCCAUUGUCGUACCAUACCGGUCAGGGACCGGACCCUACACGCCGGUUUGCACACCAUGAUUAAAACUAAUGAUUGCUGAAUCGAGCCGAAUCGGCCGGUUCAGCCCGAACCGAGCCGGCCCGGUCUCCGACCGGGUUCGCUCUCCAUUGGAAAACGGUUCUGGCCUUGUUGGGGCCGGAACCUGAUUGGAUGUGGCCAAAACCGGUUGGAACUGACCGAAAAUUAACAAAAUCAGAUGGUUCUGUCCGGUUUGAAUCGGUAUCGAACUGUACCGAUCGCCGAUCGGUACGGAUCUCGAUACCGGAUUGAUCGGUACGGGUCUCGUUACUGGUUCGACGAUUGAUUAAAACACACAAACACACUACAUAGAUGUCCAUAUGUAUGUACACAAGGACACACGUAUGUAUGGAUGCCAUGUCCCUAUGCCUAGAUCUUUGGAGGAUGUCAUGUCUGAUGCUUGAGGACACUUAGACACAUGGCAUCCAAGUGUCAGAUAAUACUGUUUGAUAGACCUUUCUCUAGGUGGCAGGUAGUUAGCUUACUGGUAGCAUUUGUUUCGUCAUUACAGGAGGCAGGUGAGUGACAGUAUCCUUACUGAAAAUUCAAUUUGCUUAACAUAAAUUCAAUUUAUCCACCAUAAAUUCAGACUUAAACAUUCAGACUUAAACAGGCAAAUUCAAUUUGCUUAACCAUAAAUUCCAUUGGUAUUAUGCUGCUUAUUAUGGAUCUAUCCUACUAAAUCACUCGUUCACUUGUUAACAUUUAUCCACCAUCUCGUAGUUUUGUCUGCUUCAUGUUAGAGCCUCUACUAUCAAAUAUGAGAAGAAAAAGUUAUCCUUCCAAUACAAUCCUCUUACCUUAGAGGUGGAAUGUGUGGAAAUGACAUAGCUAGGUCUUCUAGGAAUGGUUAAUCAGAUGAUGCAUACACUCUUUAACAUGCUUGCUUAAAAAACAUAUCUGUUCUUGCGGACUAUAUGCUCUAAAAUUUACAGAAUUAAAAAACUAAGCAAAUACCCCACCUUAUUAGUAGUGCCCGUGGUAUGCUGAACCGGCCUGUACCAGCCGGUUUAGCACGUACCGUAUCGGUCCGGUUCAGUCGUGGAAACCGGUGCAAGGCCCGUAGAUGCCGAACCCAGCCAGAGCUGGAGAAGAAGAAGAGAAGGAGAGAGCGAGCGGGAGAGGGAGGGAGGGAGGAGAGGCUUCCGCUGCCUGCGGAGGGCCGACGGGGGGCGGCGGAGCCCGCGGGGGCAAGCGAUUUGCCGAUUUCACUUAAAAAUUUCUAAUUUCUUUUUGCGGCUGCGGCCUCGGCCUCCGCUGCGCCUCCUCAGCCUUUACCGACCCCCUGUGGCCCUCCGUGGGCUCCCACCCUCCCUCCCCUGCUCACUCUCUCUUUCUCUUCUUCCCCGGCUUCGGCUGGGCGCACCCGUUUCCGCGAGGAAGAGCUGGCUGGCUCCCGGUAUCGAGCUGGAACCAUACCGGUCUGGUAGGCAACUGGUACAUCUAUCGGUACCGGUACGACGUACCUUGGUAGUGCCUGUAACCAACGAGGGAAACAAGUUAAUGUUGGUUCUUCAAUAUAAUGUUUAACCUUACUAUGGAUGUUCUUAUAUUUUUUUUUCCAUAUUGAAUUUAAAUUUGCAUGAAAAAUUAUGACCUUUUAGGUGGCAACUGAAGGUAUAGUUUGAAUGCAUUUUCAUGUUCCAUGUUUAAAUUAAUGCUACUCGUAAAAAAAUAUCUGCUGCUUUUCAGUUUUGCAAUUCUUAUAUUUAGUGAAGAACUAAUUCGCUGAAUCAUUGUUAUUUUAUUUGCAUUUUCAGCCUUGAGAAUGCUGGUGAAAGUUCUGUAUUGUCCAUGUUGAGAUCUGUAAGGUUGGUUUUGGGGCUUUUAUGCUGUGGUAGAAUAUCUUCAGUAUUUUCUUCGUGUUCUGGAGUUACUUGUCAGGUUUAUUUCGUAUCUCUUCCUUCUAAAUUAUGCACCAGAUUGUUCACAUACGUCAUGGGGUUUUGCAAGUUGUGUAGUGUGUACUAGUGAACGCUACAAAGAAGAUAAUCUUCUACGGAGCAUAAUAUUUUUUUGCACACAUUUAGAAUAAACUAUACUUCUCAUAUACAUACACUGUUUUAAAUAUAAUAGUAUAAGGUAUAUGCAUGUAUACUCCACAACUAUACACUGAAUUCCUUUUAAAACUUUUGAUGAAUCAUUACUUGAGUUUUGUCCCAACAAAACUGUAGUCUUAAUGAAGUUAUGGAGGGAUGAGGGUAGAAAAAGCAUGAUGCCUAAAUAGCAACUGUAUUGGUGUGUGAAACAAUAUCUUUAUUUGCAGUCAUUUAGGAGCAUGAAUUUAAGGGUCGGUUGACAUGGCACAGCAUGAAACAAUACUUAGUGGACCAUUGCCACACCAGCAAAUGAUAUUGUCACAGUACCGGCCACGUGCAGUACUUGGCAUGCGACAUGUUGACUGGUCCAGUUUAUGCCUAACACUGACACUGCUUGGCAUGUCAUGGUAUUUACUGCAUUAGUAGUAGAGUGGCAUGUCACUGGCACGCAAUACUUCAAUUCUUGUAAUUAUGUGGUUUCUUCAAGGAAAAUGCAGAAAACACUUGUAGGAGAUUGUUCAGUAGGAUGACUAAUAUAAUCCUUCCUAUUUGAGGCAUAUAUGCCCAACUAGGAGGGAGGCAACAAUAGAAGUGAAUGAAUAGUGGUGCCAUAUGUAUGGGAUGAUGUGAGGCAUCAGUUACAUGAUGGUUGGAGCAAUGUUUUGUAAAUUGUGAGGCAGAGUUGUGCAGCUAGAGGUGUGUUCAUUGGCUGGCCUCUAGGAUGGUGCUAAGAGAAAAAGGACAUCAAGAAUUACCUGUAUAUGUUGGAAUAGGGAUGCAUAAAGCAGCCUUUGAAAAACAAACAUAGUGAACAAAAGAAUCUUCUAUAAUUAACAUCAAAAUAUUAAAGUCUUGUCCCUUAUUUUUUGGAUUUUCUGAAGCUGCAUCUAGAAGCAACCGACGAUUCUGUAGUUGCAGGACAUAAAUUUUAAAAAAUAGCCCACUUUACUGUUGUAACUAUAAUGCUUAGAGCAAGGUCAGCGGAAACGAUACUAAGCACCAUACUGGUUUCUCGGCGGCAUGAGUCGGUACGGAUCGUGUUGGGCCUUUACCGAUGGAGGAGACAACACGUAGACCGUGGGAGAGAGGAAAAGAGAGAGAGAAGGGGGAGAGAGGGAUGGAGAAGGAGGGAGCCCGAUGGAGGGCUGGCGGAGGCCGGCCUCAGUCGCGGAAAGCGAGGCCGCGACCACUUUUUUGUUUUAAACGAAAUAGGGGUCCGAUUGCAGCCUUAAAAAAAUUCGCGAUUUAUAAGUGAAGUCGGUAAAUUAAACUUGCUGACUUCACUUAAAAGUCGUGAAAUUAAACUUGCCGACUUCACUUAUAAAUCACGAAAUUUUUUAAGGCAACGGCUGGACCCCUGUUUCGUUCGAAAUAGGGGAAGUAGCUGUGGCCUUGCUUCUCGCAGCCUCCGCUGGCCGUCCGCCGAUGUCCCGCCCUCUCCCUCUCCCUCUCCCUCCCUCCCCCGCUUGCUCUGUCUUCCCUUCUCCUUCUCCGCUCCGGCAACAUGUUUCGUUUCCGUUGCCGGAACCAUAUUGGUGAGCUAUUGGUAUAGCUCAGGACGGUCGGAACCGUCCGGUUCGGGAUGGUUCUGCCUACCCUGGCUUAGAGCAUGUUUGUUAAUCCAGGUACCAGUCAUCAAUGCCUCCCAUGCACUUCUAUAUCUUUUUCAAGCUUUCUAUCAUCAUCUCCACACAUUCUUUCAUUUAGUUUUUAAAUGAAGGGCUCCCUAGACUGUAUGGGGAAACCUGGAUCGUAUUAGCAUUCACCAUGGUACUGAGUCUACUGACACUUAUGAAAAUUGUAUUUAAUAUAUGUCAAACUGGCACUUACAAUGGACAACAUGUUGGCACACUCUCAUCCAUCCCCUUUUCUUCUCUGAAGUUUAUCUGAUGGUGGUUUGCUUCAUUUCUCUUGCUUUUAUCAGCCACCAUAAAGUCUAGAGAAACAAAUGUGCCCAUUGGCACUUUGCAUGAGACCUCAAGCCUCAAUAAUGGUAUGCCAUACCGUACUAAACUUGGCAGUAUGGAGCAUACCAUACAGUACUAGUUCAGUACUGGUAUACGGUAUGGGGGGCAUAUCGACCUUCGGUAUGCCAAAUCGGCCUUGUACCAUACCGUACUGAUAUAUAGAGUGGCACCAGUACGGGGCCCGGUACUAAAACAGCAUACCUUGCUCGAUACUACUAGUAAUGAAGCAAUGUGGUCUUAAUAACUUGUGAUGGCAAGAUAUUCUUUCACAUAAUCAUACUGUCUGAUAGUCAUUUCAUUAAUUAUAUAGUCUUAUUAACUUGUCUAAAUAUAGGAAGAAGCGAAUGGGGGUAUUUGUUGAUAACUAAUUUUGAUGGUUGGUUAUCAAGAGGUGUGGUGAUUUUUUUUUUAAUUAGAUAAGAGAAUGAAACUGUUAGAUCGGGAGAAAGAAGGUGCCUGGUCAAAUCUGUGGUGCAGGGACAAAUUCCCAAUCUCUUUAACGUACUCCACUAACAUACAUGGAUAUCCACCAGUUUUAAGAGAAAUGAGAAAAUUAAAAAAACUAUAUCAUUUAUCACUAUCUUCUCUCUUGCGUAUGGUCUCCCUCCUACAAAUUUUGUCCAUAAUGUCUGUGAACCUUAGGAACCUACACUAAUGCUAAGUAUUAGUUUUUAAUUGAUUUAAUCUUAGCUCUUGAACCAUAUAGACAGAAGUGUUGUGAAGUGAAUUAUCUCAAAUCUCGCCAUAGUACAAUUAUGAUAUCAUAAUUUGAUGUAUAUGUUCCUUUGAUGCAAGUUGUGCAUCCCAAAGUUGUAUCUCAUUGAGGCACCCAGAUUUAUACAUUUAUUAUAACAAAGAUGGGGCUCCCAUAUCUCUGUCACAGCAAUUGAAAUUUACAUAUUAAUGAAGUACAAAAAUGAGCAAACCUAUUAAUAAUUAAAUUCUAAAUCUAAGAACUAAUUUCUAUUUAAUCAUGUCAAGAGAAGGAAAAAAAGGCACUUAGAAGAAGGUGAAAAGUGGAAGAAGAAAAACAAUGGUAAAAGGAAAUAACUUAAGUAAACAUAAUGGUUCGAAGUGUCCAAAUCCUUAGCUGGUCUUGGAACAAUGUUAUAGGGAGGCAUGGAUACCUUUUUGUACCAUUCCUGAAGUGUCCUCGCAGUCUAAAGCAUAUGCUUUACUGCCACCACAUCCAUCUCUCCUAACAUUUGCUUUCUUUGUGCUUCACUUAUAUGAUGUGCAUCUACUUGGCCUAUAGGAGUCAAUACUCCAUAAACUGAGUUUAUGUUAUUACUUGAUAUAUAUUUAAUCCUUCGGAUGCUCUAUAAAUCGUGUAUCUGUAUUCUAUCCAUGUUAUCACCUGCAUUUUAACAGCUGCAAGUUUAAGGCAAAGAAUCAUAUGCUACCAUAGGUAGGAUAUUAACCUGUGAAUGAAGAACCCUUUUUCUGCAAUAUUUUAUGCUUUCGUUCAAUGCUCUUUGUGCUUGUUGUUUUCAUAUAUUCGUUAGCCGUAUGCAACUUCUAAAACUUCACAACCUUCAAAUUAUUUUUGUACUUUUUGGUGCAGAUGAUGCUGCAAUUGGUACAGUCUUCUUGGGUAUUACACCUUAGCUGCAAUAAGCGCAGGGUUGCACCUAUUGCCGCACUUUUAUCUGCAGUCUUGCACCGGUCGGUGUUUGGUGACUUGAGCAUGCAUGAGAUGAAUGGCAGCAAACCAGGUCCCUUAAAGUGGGUCAGUAUUUAUUUGUUUUAAAAACUGUUUGACAAGUUCAAGAUAGACAUAGUGCUUUCUAUCUGUUUAUAUGUUCCACCAAUCUUAGAAGGUAAGAGUUUAAUGAUCUGGUUUUGUGUCAGAAGCCACAGUGUUAUCAACCUGUUUUGAAAACUAUUCAUAUAUUUCAUCAAUCUCCGAAGGUAAGAGUUCACUGAGCCAAUUUGUGUCAGAACCAGGAAUUCUAAAGAAAGUGUAGAGUUGCUGGUUUGGAAUAGCUCCAUGCAUCUGCAAUGAUUUAGGCUAUUAAGAUGUGCCAUGCAAGAAGCUGUUGUUCUAUAUUACUUCAAAUUAUAUUUGGUAUUUCACCAUAUUUGUAGUGUUCAACAAAUAUUUUGCACUGAGAAACAGUUGGUGUAGGUGCAGCUGCUGGUAAGCUAAAUGGUAUUUUGAAACUUUGGCUAUGAAGAUUCAGUGUCUGCAAUUCAGUAUGAGGUUUAGCAAGUUGUAAGAAAGGGUCUACAGGGCAAGUAAAAUAUGCAAAGUGCAAAGUAGUCUGACGAUGUGUGCACCUGUAGCUGCUCUUCAGACAAAGUUUCCAUUGAAAAAUGCUCUUCAGACAAAGUUGUAAUCAUGUGAAAAAACUUCCAGCACCAUAAAUAACAAGCUUUAUUCAGCUUCUAUUGGCACAGAAAACAGAGAUUCUCUUUUUAAAAACAAUUUAUUUCUGAACAAACCUUGCAUAUGCUCUAUAAAUUUCAGAAACAUAAAGUCAUGGGCUUUAUUCUUGCACAAUAUUGUGAAGUGCAGUACCUAUUCAUAGAAAUGUUUCAUAUAGGAAGCAUGCUAUGACAAGGCGGUUUGAUGGGAAAGGAGAUUUUGUAAGAUGCUAUGAAUGUAAAGAGUAGAAAACUAGAAAUAUUAUGAACAAAAAGAUAUAAUAUAACAAAAGAUAAGGAAAGAAUCGUUCUAUAUGGCCAAGCAAUUGUAGAAUAAUGAUUCCUAGAACCAUGGCCUGAUGUUUUGCUCACCCUGCUUUUCUCUGCAUCAAGUUGGAUCCUUGUACCUUGAAAGCCAUGCAUGCUUGUGUUUUAUCCUUGUAUUCAGGAAAUUGACCUAGAACCAAUUUAAUUUAGCUCACAGAUAUGGACUAUUUCUUGAUCACUUGAAUCUAUCCAUUUGAGUUCAUUAUUCAAUGUUCUCUUAAGUUUAAGUGCCUUAAGUAUCCAUUUCAUAUAUUAUGGUAAUAUCUGAUGAUUCUGAUCCAUAUAAUGGUCUGAACACUAAUUGUCAGUUUUGCAAUUACCUUUCCUCUUCCCAUCCAAAAGUUAAUUCUAUCAUCUCCAUGCUUCUUAAAAAAUUGGAGCAAUUUGUUUUAAAUCAAUUGAAUACCAUGGUGGGCAAACCUCAAAGGCUCUGAAGAUGUUUAAUGUUGCUCAUGAAUAUUCAUUUAGAUCCUGUAGGUCCCCUAUAAUUGAUUCAGUAUUUCAUGCAAUAAUGCCUGUUGUCCCAUGCUCAGGCAGGCCCCUAUGAUUACACAUGAACCCGCCUCCCCUUCCUCCCUGCCUAUCCAUUUUUCUAAUGUUUGACAUCCUAUAAGAUAUUCUGUACUAGAUAUGGUUAAGGAUUAGUUUGGUUGAAACUUGAAACCAACAGCCCUGAGAGAUGUUGUUUGCUGCCCCUCUCAGUGGAACAUGCCUCAAAAAGUUGAGAGAAACUCACCAUCUAGACUAUGAUGGCUGAUAGUGGGUCUCGACUCUUGUCCACUGUUGAGAUUCUAGAGUUGAAAGGAACCAGGAAUGAGGAAUACUGAUUCCCAGCAACUUAGUAUAACAUUAUCCACUUAAGACUUUGAUUGAACAUUGAAGUGUAUUUUUAUCUUUCUUUUCCCCCUUAAUCUGACAUUCCGGGCUUUCAUUUUUUUCCUUCAUAUUUUUAGUUGUUACCAACUUGAGAGUAUUGUCUGAUUUGUCCCUAAACUUAGAGCUAUGCUGUCCAGAAACAGAUUUUAAGAUGCCACUCUUUUUAAGAUGCUGUCCAGCAAAAGGCUCUAUCUAUGUACAGGCCUAUUGUGUCUAGUUUUUUAAUUCAGUUAUGAUAAAUUUUUCAUGGGUGGGCUUUGAAUUUUUUUUUUCUUGUAUGCAGUCUGUCUUUCUUCACAAGUUGGUAAGUCUAAACAAUAAAUUUUUCAAGUGGGUUGCCUCUAAAGGCUUAAUCUUUGAGGAGGGAGGGAAGAAUGCACCGAACAUUACUACUUCUUGGUGUGCCAUGUUUCCUGGAUAUCCUUGACUUUUGUCUCUCUUUACUGUUCUCUUAGAGCUCAUGAGGUGAGAGAGAAAGGUCCUGUCAGUCUUCUGUUGCAACCUAAAUCAUGUCGCAAUGCCUUAAUUUGCUUGUACCCAAUCCAUGGCCACUGCCUAGCCAUUUGUGUCAUAGAAAUCUGAGGUUUCAUAUCUUUGGCGAGCUACUUGGGCACCUGCUAGCAUCUAGCAUACAUGAGUAGGAUAUCCAUACCUUGAUAACCUGUCUUUUGGAAUUUUGCCAAACUCGCGUUCCCAUACUUGCUUUCUUAGGCACUUUUUAACCUUAAAUUGUUCUUAAAGCUUCACUUUGCAUUCCUGCAUUAAAAUCUGCUUCCACAUCUGUGCUUUUAAAACUGGUAAGAGAAGGUUACAAACUGUAGUUCAAUUUAUAUUGUUGAUUUCAUAAAGGAGAAAAUCAGAAGAAAAUACUAUAUGUCAUCAUUGCAAUAAACUUUAGAUUAUUGGAAGUAAAACAAGAUAAUGAUAGAUCACCACUUGAUGAAACAAUUGUGAUAUUAAGAACUAGAAAACUAACUUGGAUUCUGGCUUGAUGAACAACUGAUUAUUGUUGGUGCAUCAUUCUGGCUUGUGAGAGCCUGACCAAUUCCAUAAAAAAAUUAUGUUUAAGCAAGUUUUUAAGAACUGACACCAAUACCUAUAUUGGCACAUUGCCUGUAUGUGCGUGCCAAGUGUUGGUAUAAUAUGCUGGUCUUAUACCUAAUGUGAGUAUGGGGAGCAUACUCAGUUCCUAUAGACUUCCCAUGGUAUGCUUAGUACAGAUGGUACUUAAAAUCUUGAUCAGUUUAAGUGUCUUGGAGGAAGUUAGGAUGCAUUAUGGUUCCUUGGAAUCAUCUACUUGUUUUUUGAAGAGCAAAUUUGUCUUGUGAAAUUAUUAUACUAGCAAAGUUUUGAGAUAUUGGUGUUUCAUAUAUUUAAGUUGCUUCUUCAUUUCUGGACCUUGUCUCAUCUUACAUUUUCCUGCUAUCUAUCUUAGCUAGGCCUUCUAUUAUUGCAGAAGGAUUUUAAGGAAGUUUGUAAUCAUUUUUUCUUGUAGUUCAUAGAAAAGCUUCUUGAUGAAGGCACGAAAAGUCCUCGCACUAUUCGACUUGCGGCUUUGCACUUGACUGGGUUAUGGCUCUUGUAUCCUAGAAUAAUCAAAUAUUACAUAAAAGAGUUGAAGUUGCUAACCCUAUAUGGCUCUGGUAGAUUCAUCCUCUUCCAUUAUUUUGUUGUCUUUAUGAAUUAAUUUCAUUGGAUGUCAUUAUAACAAUUGCUUUAUUCCUUUGUUACUAAUUUGUUUUUUGUUUUGGGGGGCGGGGAUAGUGGCUUUCGAUGAGGAUUUUGAAGCUGAAUUUUCUGAAAAUCAUGAAGCAAGAAUUGAAGUUUCAUUGUUAGCUCAAAGCCCAGAUUGUGAGUUCACAGAGGUAAUCCAAAAUGCACCACCAUUAUUAAUUGUGGUUGCAUCAUAAUUGUAUUAAUAAAUUACAUCAUAAUUAUAUUAAUUGAUUAAAAGUUAUGCCUUUGUUUAUUAAUGAUUACUGAACUGAUGUCCUCCCACUUGUCUUCUAAAUUAAGUGCAUGUCUGGAUAUUCCUACAGAAUUGGGCUGAAAAUCAUGUAGGAAUCAGGUCGAUUGGUCCAUAUGUCUUGCAUUGUCUAAGAGCUUGCCCAAAUCCAACCCAGAUUCUAGCCUUUAGGCUGCAAGAAGAAAAAAAAGGCCCAUAGUGGUUUUUUUUCUUCCCACAGGAUUUCGCUUGAGUGGUAUUUGGUUAAUACAGGGCCAUGCUUAAAUGAACGGCCCAAUCCAUGAAUCCUAGAGAAUUUUCAGCCCAAUUCUGUAGGAAUAUCCAAACAGGCCCUCAAUGUUUUUAUAUCCAGAUGCUUGUAAUAUCUCAUAUACCUUUAUAUAAAUGGUUGAAGUUACUGAAACAAAUACAUGCAUUGGUGUGGUAUGGUAUCCAAGUUGGAAAUAGGCUUGGGUUGGCUCCAAGCUUGUCAGGUUGGGUGAGUUUUGGGUUGGGCAUUGGGUUCAGCUUAAAAUAGUUGGGGUUGGGCUUGGGCUUGAUAUCCAAGGAUAGAAAAAUUUUAGGCCAAGUUUGGGUCUUGCCUUGGCCUGGCCUUAGCCCAACCUCAGCUUGAAACCUGAGGCCAAGCCUCCCUGUUCCUUAUCUUAAUCCCACCCUACCCACCCUUCCCCAACUGCCCCAUUCCUCAUCUCAAUUGUACACCCCCUUCCCUCCUUUUCUCUAUUCCCACCAUCCCUCUCUCUGCUCGUCUUGACAGCUCCCCCUCCCCUCCUUGUCUAAAAUCCCUCCCUUCCCGUUCCACAUUCCUGAUACCCCUCCAUCUCGACCCCCCUACUCCCGCUUCCCCUCUACCUCACCCUCCGUUACCUCCAUUGUUGGCAGCACCUUUGCCAUGCCCAAUCCUAGCUGCUUCACUGUUGUUCCUAAGCACAACCUCCACACCACUCCUUCUUCUUCCUCUCCAUCUCCCUCUAGCCUUUUCUCAUGCCCCCUCUCCCUCCCUUUCUCUCCUCUUCCUCUCCAAUCUUAGCAUACAUCAAUAGGCCAUUUGACCGAAUCUUAGCCCCAAGCUGGAGGGGUGGAAGGGGGUUUAUGGUGGUAGGGGGCUGGAUUCCCUUUUUCUUUCUUUCCUUCUCCAGGUCUAGCAAGAUGGAGCUCCAUAUGGGUCAGGUUGGCACGGGCUUCAUUAGGGUCGGGGUCGCUUAUGUUUGGGUUUGCGUUGAGCAAGAGGAUGGCCCAGCUUGGCUCGGCUUGUUUCUAGUCUUAAUGGCAUCACAUUGACACACAGUAAGCCUGUUAGUGCCACCACGAACAAAACCAAUAAGAGAUGAUUUAUAAUUUGGUGGGAAGGGUUGGGACUAAGGGGCAUAUUUAUAUUGGUUCCUUAUUAGGUAUGGUAUGGCUAGUACAGAACCAUAUGGACUAGUAUUUAGGUUUGUAGAAAAUAUAACUAAUAGACUGAUGGCUGUUGAACUUAUUUUAGAUGACGGCAUUAUUGAUGAAAUUAAUACUUUUGCACCCCAAGUAGGAUUGAAGAGGACAAAGAGACAAUUUUGAUAGGAGUUGGAAGGAAUAGUAUAAGGAAUUCCAAAGAGAGAAGAUUUUAUAGGUGGUACUUUAGAUGGUCAUAUUGGGUGUUUUGAGUGAUGUGUGACGGUCAACAAUGGACAUGGGCUUGGUGACAGGGAUGCAGUGGUCAUAUAAUAUUUUAGUCUGCAAUGGCCUCUAUCAAUUACGCUUGUUCGUUAUUUGCAGUACGACUCUCUAAUAUAGUAGUUCUAUUUGUUCUAUUUGUCUUAUUACCCUAUAACAUAACUACGUACUAUGGCCAUCAAUUUUGUACCAUGACAUUUAGUGCAACUUUCCAUGUCACCUUUGUUUUUAGAGAUGGAUGUUACAACUUUUUUUUUCAUUCAUAUGUCUAUGAUUUCAAGCUUAUUGAAUAAGCUAGUUAAAUAUUUGGCUUGUUGCUAGUUGAAUUUCUAGUUGGAGGGUGAUGCACGUGCCACCAACUUUUAAAGUGGUUCCUCUAAUUUAUUCUUGCAGCAAUAUCCUCAUUCAGAUACUCUCAAAAAUAAAAUUUUCUUUUCCUGGUACCAUGUCUGAAGUUUCGCCCGUAACAAACAUGACAUGGAUGAUUUGGUUUUGGCCAAAUUUAAUUGAAAAAUAGGGCCAGUUAUGAAGUUUUGACCAGAACUAACUAUAUAACCAAAUUCAACAUAUUAUAAGCUAUCUAUACCAAUUUAUUUGCCAUUCCUUCAUUGAGGAAGCAUUUUGUCCUGAUUAAAUGGAAUAUGCAUUUUCAGAAGAUUUGAAUGCCAUGCAACAUGGAAUUUGCUAGUUCUCAGAAGAUCUGAAAGCCAUGUAACAUUAUGUUCCAGAGAGACUUAAAAAGUAAAUUCAUUUACAUAUGGCCUACUAUCGCAGAAUUCAAAUCUCAUAGCAUUUUGUUUAUCAUAUGUUCGGUUGCCAUCAGAUAGUCAAAUGAUUACACUCUAAACAAGAUUUUUUAGCAUUAUAUUUUUUAAAACUACUUUAUUUGACUCAGUUUGAAACCAUUGAAACGAAGCACUCAUAUAUUGCAAUGGAAAUAAUAUACUUUAAAAUGAUCUCUAAUACAUUUCCUUGUCAUAUUUUAUUUUUCUUUGUUUUUAUUAUUGUUUCUAUUUCUAUUUUUUUUCUUGGUUUUUAUUGUUUUCAGGGGAAAAGUUGAAACUGGAGCUGAAAUUAUCAGCACCAAGCCUUUUGAACCUUACUUGUUACUAUGAUCUUUUGCUGUCGUUAUAACUGUCGCAAAAGGGUCGAUGUCUCGUGAAUACUGGUCCUGUACUGGCCGAUAUGUGCCAUAGAUGCCAUGAGCCUAUUCAAUCGGGGACAGUACAUAUUGCUAUUGGGUGAACUGCUUUAUAUCGAAGCAUAGCACCCCUAUAUCAUCACAUAUCAUCCAUACUGCUUAGUUUCUGUUUUUCCUUAUUCAUGCCAUGGUGUACCAUAUCACGGAUUGUACCAUACAGGCCGAACGUUAAUAUUGUAUCAGUCCUUGAGAUUUGAAUCCCUGCUCUCACACUUAAUCAUUUAUUAUGAUCUAUAUCAAAUAAGCUUUUCAGCCGACCUAGUUAUAUGGCUUCCUUUGGUUCCUUGUAUUUUUCACAUUUUUGAUAUUUUCAUCCCAUGUCAUAUCUCAAUGAAUUAGGACCUGAAGGAGUUCAUUAGAUAUGAUAUUCCAUGCUUUUGCAGCUUCCUGCUGGUUUGCUUGCUAUAGCAUUUUAUAUCUUGACUUCCAAAUUACAUUUGCUACUGUUCUGUAAAAUCUUUUUUUUAUGCCUUUCUGAUAUGUUAAGAUAUAUUGGCUAUUUAUUAUCUGGUGUUGCACUCUUUCAGUUGUUUGUCAAUACAGAGAUGUACGCUCGUGUAUCUGUUGCUGUUUUGUUCUACAAACUAGCAAAUUUAGCUGACAGGAGAGGUGAACUGGAGAAUCAAGAUACUUUGGCUGCACUUCGAUGUGGAAAAGCAUUUCUACUAGAGCUUCUUGAUUCUGUGGUAUGCGCUUAUAAUACUGAAGUAUAGGGAACAGGUUGUACUAUAGAAGCCUCUUUAAGUUAAUAAGCUUUAUGGUCCCUUGAUAUUUAUGGGCAUGGACUGAACAUCUUAUGUUCUGUUUGACAUCCUGGGAAAUAGAAUUGCUUUAUUGUUGGCAGGCUUGGUGAUAACUGCAUGCGGAAUCGUAUUUUUUUUUUAUAAAUUUUGCAUUUUCUUUUUUGUACACUUCAUAUACAGUAAAAAGCACCUUUGAUCAUCCAUAGAUUUCCAGGAAUGGUCCUAUUUUUUUUGAUAAAUUAGUAUAUGUAUGGCAGAUCAUUUUAAAACACCGAUAUUUCUUUUGCUACGGAUUGAAGUAUCUAUGCCACAUUAUGAUCUUGAUCUAAUUUUCAUCUAUGAAACUGAAAAAAAAGCGAUAAUCGCGCACUGCAUGUCCAUUAGACUUACAUCUGUUGGUCUUAAAAUGACUCAAGCAGGACCAAGUCUUCGCUUGUUAUCCCUGCUUUUUAUGUGCAAAUGCGUAAAAAUUCUCUUGUUAGCCACAAUACAAUAUUAAACUUACAAAUUUCCACAAGAUUAAAGAAAUACAUCAACAGAUUGCUGCAUUCAAACACGUAUACAUGUAUCCUAUGGUCUACAUAGAUUGACUAAAAGAUGCAUGGCCAUCCUUUUUGUGGUGAUACAUUUUUCUUCACUAAAAUUGGUUAUAAGGUUAUGUAACCUUUCCUUGUGGGAUAACACUAAAGCAACAAGAGUCCAAGCACCUUAUUUAUAGCAAAUUCCAUCACUUUCAAGUUCCUAAAGUCAGCUACCUUUUUGCUUGGCAAACUAGAGAUUAGGCUUGAAUUAGUCCUUGUAAUUAUAUGCUUCCGUCUUAUCUCUCAUAUAACAUAGUGAGUUAGUCAAAUGAGAGCUUGGCAUAAUUUAUAACUGAUGAUAUAUGGAGAAAGUAACUAUAGUUUAUUUGCUUCAUAAACAAAAGACACAUUGUUUACAUUUAAGAUACAUUUAUUCAGCAAUGAUAAAAUUUGGUUAAAUUCAUACAUAUGUACGUAUAAAUACAUUCAUAAAUGGGGAAUCCAUGCAGCAUGAUCUAUGUCAUUAGAGGUACCUAAAAACCAAAAUCAUAUGUUAUGGAGGCCUCCUAACCAUGGAUCAAGUGGACAACAAAUAGAUUAUAACAAGUGUUAUUGUGCUAAGCCUAAGCUAUGUGGUAAGGUAAACCCUUAAACUAACCCCUGUGCUUCUAGGGUAGUGGAUUAGUGAUAACAGUGUGAUGGGUCAGUUAAGGCUUGGUUUCAGUGAUUAGGAAAGCCAUGUACUUCAUAGCUAAGAAAAAGAACAAAAUAUUGACGAAAAAAGUGGAACGAGCAAUUUGUUUAGGAUUUAUCAUGUUCUUCUCCAUUUUUAUUUUCUCUUCCUCUCUUUCACUUUAUCUGAAUGUUGACCUUACUCCAUUUUUAUGAUCGACAAGUGAACCCUUAGUUGGGUUUUCAGGUCAAGUAUGGAUCCAUAUAAAAACAGAUUGGUCGGUUAUGACUUUAUUCAUUUCAACUCAAUUAUAGAUGGGGCAGGUAGUGGAUGUGGGUUUUUUUUAAAAAAUUUGACCAGAAUUUGCCCUGAACAAAACUGGACUUGGCCUGACUUAUCAGCAUGCCUGUUUGGAUUCCUCUGAAAUGUAAACUGGGGGAAAACCUGGGGAUUAAGUGUUAACUGAUAUCUCUUAUAAGUAUUCUUCAACAAUCAAAUGCAACUUGUAUUUUUCAUGGAUUCAAAUGCCAAUAGGAAUGGCACGGGUUGGCAAAACAGAUAGUGUGCCAAUGCCAGGUCAGCGCACCAUUGCCCUGUGAUAGUUCAACCGUUGGUAUUUUUUAAAUCCAUUAUUUGUUACAAAGUACCGGUGUAUUCAAAAACCUUGGACUUGUUUUGAGAAAUUUAAUUCAAAGCUUUUGUUGACUUGUUAAAUCAUGUAAUGAUGGACCUGGGAUUCAAUGUCUAACAUUUGUCUUUCUAUGUUUACAACAAGGUUAAUGAUAAAGAUCUUGCAAAGGAACUUUAUAAAAAAUAUAGUGGUGUGAGUAUUCUUUCUUAUCUGCUUUUGGGUUUUAAAUAACCCUAUCAUUUUAAUGGUCAAAGCAUGAGGUAUCACAAUAUGACAUAGUUCUUUUUUAUCAGAUCCAUAGGCGCAAAGUUCGUGCUUGGCAAAUGAUAUGCAUACUGUCACACUUUGUUGAGGAGGAUAUAGUAGAAGAAGUCACAUCUAACUUACAUAUUUGCCUAUGUGUAAGUACAUCUUCAUUCUUUUUAUGUAGCAGACAUCAAGUUAAUUUUUUUUAAUGGUCCAUUGCACUGUGUUGUAGGGCUUGAUGUGUAAUGUUUCACUUAGUUUCUGAAUGUUUAUUGAUGAAUUAUUAAUGUGGUGAAUGGAAUUCUUCUGAACUUGUGAAAUUUUGACUCCAUACAAAGUUUAAUGUUGGUGCGGGAAAAAUUAAUUUUCCUUGUUUUUGUUGUAUAUGUGGAUUUAUUUUUAGGGUUAGUUUUAGAGAAUCCCAAAAGUCUUAGAAUUCAUUGUUUAUUGUGACAGUUAAAAGUCUGAAGUCAUAUGUAUUUGGGGAAUGGCAUGGUCUUUAGUAUUAUGGUUAUGAGAACCCAUAAAUAGAUGACCCCGAACAGUUGGGUCAAGAAUUGAUAGUUAUGGUUAUGGCUAUGGUACAUUCAAUAUUGUGGAGGUUACGCUGAUCAGGAGUUCUGUGUCAAGUCAAAUUAUGUUGAAAGGGACAAAGGGCCAUAAUAGGCAAGAUGAAACCUAAAGACUAGGAACUAGGAAGCAUUAUUUUCAUGUUGCUUUGGUGUCUCUGGAAAUGAAUCUGUGUAGAUCAUUGUAUUUUGUAAAAUAUAUGGAUUAUUUAGAGUGAAUUUAUCUCUUAAGAUUCCAUAUAUAUAUAUAUAUAUGAUAUAUCUCUUCUAUUCUUCUUCUUGCUCUUGCUUCUCUUCUUAUAUAUCAACUUCUUAUCAACCACCACACGUAAAACCCCCCAGUGGUUCACAUAUGAGCUGGUAUAUACAUAUUGCCCCAGGUACAAAUAUCAACUUCAUGCAGAGACUGAUCUGAAUGAAAAUGUGCAAGUCAAAAACAAGAAUUGCGAAAGGCCAUUUGUACAUUGAUCUAGCUCUCUGUCUCAAGAAAUUGACAAUAUACCAAAUCUGAAUGAACAUUCAGAAGACACAAUUUGGAUAUAAAUGCUUUUUAUAGACAUACUUUUUUGCAUAAGUUUGGAAGUGCAUACAUCAUAUUUGAUAUAUUAUACCACUGAAAGAUGAUCUGCAACAUGUUGGCUUGAUGGAAUCUCCCAUAGAUGGAUGAAUCUGUAUAGUUCAUAUUAGAAACUUUAAGUAAUGGUCCCUGGAAGCUGGCUUCCGUCUCUGAAAGUUUUGAGCUGUUAUGGAAAUGAAUGCAGCAAUACACUGCUCUGGAUUACUCUAAAAUAUAUAAAUAUGCCAAGAACUCGUGCUCUACGAACAAGGCAUCAUAUAGGGGUUUGUCUGUUAAGUAAUUUUGUACUUUAUAUAUACUCACUCCAUAUACAGGGACAUAUGAACUAUCAAGCAUUUCAGCUCGUCAGGACUUUAAGAGUAUGCCAUAGAUACAUUAGAAAAACAUGCUAUACACCCUUGUCUAGUGAUGGGAGUAAGGAAUCACAAAUCUACAACCAAAACAAGUUCAUCUUAUGUAUCAAGUAUGUAGAGUAGAGGGAGUAAUAUGGACAACUUGUUGCGUUCAUGUAUAUUUCUUCAUGUAGCUAUCUGUCAUUUGUGGUUGCUAUUAUGAAUGUGCAAAUGUAGUUAUAAACUGACAAAGUUUUUCUUGCAUUGUAGAGAAACAAUUUACCAGCUGUCCGACAAUAUCUGGAAACUUUUGCAAUACAGAUAUUCUUAAAAUUUCCACUACUGGUAAGAAGCUGGAUCAUUCUCUGACUAUUUUAUUGCCUUUUGAGGAAAUCCCACAAUUUCUGGUUUUGAUAAAUCACAUGUACUGAUUGACCUGGUGUUAUCUGUUCCUAUGAUGUUUUAAAAAAUUUUUGUUUAAAGCGUAGUUUCGUUAUGGAAGUUGUAAUAUGCUGUUUAAUAAUUAUUGUCAUUUUGUGUGUAUUAUGCAUGGGAACAUGUUGAACUGAUUGCUGUGUUUCUAUUGGUUUGUAAAAAUCAUUUUCAUGCUCCACUAUUUUCUUUUGCAAAUUUUGUUCAUUGAUAUCCAAAAAGCUUGCCAUGGCCCGCUUGACAAUGUUCGCAUUCUUCCUAAUUGCUUAGGAGGCAAAGAUUCUGCCACAAAACACGUUAACAUAAUAGGAGGAUGAAUUUUUCUCACCUUCUAAUUUCUCUGUGCUACUUGAAUUGAAGAUUUGUGUUAUAAUCAUAUUUCUAGCAAGAGCAUUAGAAGGUAAAUGGAGCGUAAGGAGAAACAGAUCGUAAUCGAGUCAGUAUCACUACCAAGCUAUUGGGUCAAGUGUCUAAUAUUAACAUCAUAUUAUUUAACCACGUUUCACAUAUACAAUGCUUUACACCCAAAUUACAACCUUCUAUAAACUGGGUGGAGUUGAAGUUAAACCAAAUUUGAGAUGGAAGUAACCAAAAGAAGAUGAGUAGGGAGAAGCCGGGGAAAAUUUUGUGGAAGGUUUGGUAUUGAAUGUCAUCUUAAUCCAACAGACAAUAAUAAGGCCAUGAUAAAUUCGUGCAUUCAUUGGGCUGGCUUUGUUUAUAGUGCAUGGAAUAGGUCUAUUCACGCUAAAAAAGCUAAGCUCAAACCUAGCUUGAAGUAUAUUUGAUCCUAAUGAAGUAGCCAAACCUGUGGUCCAUGUCUUGGAAUUGUGAUAUCUAACCUUAAUUUCAUUUGUUGAUGAAAUCCAACCAUGUCAAACUAGCUGCUCAACAACCUAAUCUCGUCCAUUGUAGUUGAGCUAGUUAGCCAUCGCAUAUCUAGAUCACAAGAUUGCAACCUAGGAUAUGCUAACGCCUUGUAAGUUAAGUUGAAAGUCAUGCAAGUCAUGAAAGCUGGCAAAUUUUGGUUAACCACUAAUCAUGUAACCUAUGUAUCCCACUUGCAUAGCUACAAAUAACCUCCAUGAAAUUUAACUACUAAGUACAUCAUAAGAAGUCACUUCCUCUGGAAUGAAAGCCAUUCUAUUUACCCCACUUUCCAAUCCCACUAUACCAAAUUCUCUACUCCAAUUAAAAGAAAAUGUAAACCAAAUGAUUGAGAUGUAGUUGUACAGCUAAAGGUAUGCAUAGUUAUUGGUGAAGAACGGCCUUUGUUCUUAUAAUAUCUCAAGAAAAAUAAAGUUGAUUUACAAAACUAUAGGGAACCUUCUACGACUUAAAUUUUUGAGCCACACUUAAAUUAUGGAUAUGUUUGGUUGACCAAAGAUUAAGAUAGGCAAUAAAACAUAUUUAAGAGAUUUAGGCCAUGUAGGUCAACUGCCCAAGUGAGUUUUUUGGCUAUAAAAAAUGGUGUAGAUAUUUAAGGAGAGAAGGAAAUUGUACAUGGUUUAUAUUGAGCUAGAGUAAGUGACAAAUUAUCUACCAUUUAAGGUCUUCUCAUGGGCUUGGAAGAAGAUUAUGUGCAAAACUACAUGGAUGCCAUUAAAGAGGUGCAUAAGAGUGCACAAACGAGUAUCUGAAUCAAGGAUUGAUAUACUGAGGAUCAAACCAUACUGACCGAGGGUGGAUUUGAUAUUCAUGGAACCAACGAUCGUACCAAUAAGGGAUAUUGAUAGGAUGCAUAGACACACCUCAAACACCUCUGUUAAGACCUGUUUUGUCCUCCAAACUCUAAUUUUGUGUUUCUUAUUAUGUUUUCUAGCCCAAAUGCUAUAUUUUUGCCUUGAUUACCAGUAGUGGUUCAGGUGCAGAUAUGGGAAGCGAGUCUUGCAAAAUAGUUAGUAAGCUUAAAAAGUGGGUCCAAGAAUAAGUUUACAAGGAGUUUGGUAGUAGGUUCGCUAUCCUAAUUGGAAGAUUUCCGCUACUAUGGUAAUGUGACUAUCAAGUUAAGUAGCCUAGUUAUGGUUUCCUCUACUGUAGGAUUAAGAAGCAUGCAUAUUUAUCACAUAAAUAAUGCAUCAUACAUUAUUUGAAUUACAUAUAUGACAUAUAAAUGUAUAAAUAGCAUUUGAAAACAAUUAGAUUACUAGAAAUUAUAAUUCGGUAUAGAAGUGGUGUACCAAAAGUUACAACUAAUAGAUUGAUGUGCACUAAAGAAGUCUAGAUUUUUAUAGACGAGGUAGAAGUGCAAGUGUAAUUAUCUAACACUUUCAAGCAUGAUCUGCCGUAUCGCCCCGUAUCGGGCUGUAUGGGACGUACCAUACCAUCCCGGGCAGUAUGAGACGUACCAUACCGUACCGGUACGAAACUCAAUUUCAAGUCGCUACAAGCCACGCACCACUCCGUAUCGAGGCGUAUUGAGGUGCAUACUGGUCUGUACCAAGGCGUACCGAUCUGUAUCGACGCGUACCGAAAUAAAAAUUGAGAAAAAUGAUUAGAGAGCUAUUUCGGUAUACGGGUAUAUUGUACCAUACCGAACCGAUAAGGUGCCGAUACAGUAUUCAGUACUGAGAUUGCGAAUAUUGCUUUCAGGCAAAGUCGACGGAACCGUUCCGAACCGUCCGGUUUGGGGCAUCUCGAGUCGUACCAGCGGCGGAUCAGGACGGUUCCGAUAAAGAAACCGAGAUGCCAUUGCCCUCCCUCUCCCUCUCUCUCCCCAGCUUGCUAUCUUUUUUCCUCUUUGCCACGGUCUCCUGUGUCGGUGCAGGCCCAGCACGAUGCGAGCCCAUACUG
rnacentral:lncRNA from 1 species